rnacentral:lncRNA from 1 species
CUUUUCACUAUUUAAGUAAGAUCAUAUCAGUAUAUCUGAUCUUGAAUUAAAUCUUUUAUCAUCAUUUUUUAUGAGAUUUUUAUUUCAGCGUUCAAUUUUAGACUACUUGUUUGAUAGUAAAUGAUAUCUGAAAAAUUAUGAAAUUAGUUUCUAAAUGCUUUAAUGUGUAGAUCAGUCUAACGAGCCGAAUCGUCGAUUUGGAACUGCAUCAUCGAAACAACUUGGUACGAACGGAGCGCUCCGUGACACAAGUGUGUUUUCGAUAUCAGCUUCCAAAUCGACGAUCGCUCCGUAGACUUGAUCUAUACUAUUAAAAAUAUUUGAAAACUAAAUUCAAUAAUUUUCGACAUCAUUUGGCUAGUGAUCAAAAGGUUCCAAAAUCUACAAUCUUUAAUGGUAAAGUAUAUGAUGGCGUUUUUAAGUUCAACAGUAUAGAAGUAUUCAAAUUAAGAUGAAAAUUUAAUAGAAAAUUCUACUUAACAUCAAUAGCAAGACUAAUACUUUCGAUUUCAAAUUGUGAAUUCUUAUCACUGAGUUAUAAAAUUUUCAUUUUCAGCGCGUUAUUUUUAGACUACUCGUUUAAUUGGUAAAUGACGCCGAAAAAUUAUAAAUUUAGUUAACCGAAUACUUUCAAUAUAUGAUCAAGUCUAACGAGCGCCGAUCGUUGAUUAGAAACCGCACUCAUUGAAAACAACUUGUGACACGGCAGCCGCCACCUCACAAUGCUACCUAUAGUAUACCAGCUAGCUUAUAAUAUAUAUAUAUAUAUAUAUAUAUAUAUAUAUAUAUAUAUAUAUAUAUAUAUGGCAUUUAAAAGAAUAUUAAUUUCAAACGUAGCUUACCCUGAAAACUUUCUAUUUGAUGAACUUCGUACAUGCAUGGAUAUAUAAAAAUAAAAUGGGUGAAUGGACUUACCCUAGAUAGUGCUACGAGUCCCUUCAAUCUAAAAGCUUAUUCUGAAGCUCAAUUUUUGUCGUAAAUACACUCAUCCGAAUUUACGUGUUUUCAAUAUAAGCCACAUAUCUCAGGAGAGUUCAAGGGCUCAGCCCAAAACUCCAUAACUCCGAAAAUAUGAUAUAUUUAAUAGAACUAAUUAAAUCUACAUAUUAAAGCCUAUUAGAUCCAACCCACUAGUACAUAUAUCAAACCUUUCACUCAUUUAAUACUUAUUCGAUAUGGUACUACUGAUAUGUAAACUCCUACUAAUAGAUAAGUCUCGUAUUGAGUUUUCUUCUUUUUUUUUUUUUUUCCGAUACUGCUUAAAAUAGUCAUUUAUUAACUUAAAUAUUGCAGAUAAAAAUGUAUAUUCUUGUUCUUGAUUAAUAUUAUUAUUAUUAACUUUUUUUUUUUGAGUGAUAGAUAGCAUGCAAUUCGCUUCGUUUAUUUCAUUUAGAAAUAAACUUAACUAGAAAUGUGAAUCAACUAGGAUUCGAACUUAGGGACCUUAGGUACCAACCACAAAGCGCCCUUUGCCACUUGCUUUAGGGACGGUCGGUAAAAGCAGAGGAGCCUAACUCGAUAUAUUGAUACGUCACGCGCACAUUAACAAUAUUUUUGGGUACCUUCUCAUGAGGUCCAAUAAGCAUUUAGUUAUGGAGAAAGCUAACAAGUCUCCUCCUAGCUUUCUGUUUCAUCAUUUAAUUAGAGGCAUGAGUUGUACACACUACACACACAGGGAUUGGAGUGGUCAAAAAGAAAGAGCAUAGCCUUGUUGGAUUCCAAGGACUAAAACUACACACAAAAUCUCUCUCUCUCUCUCUCUCUCUCUCUCUCUUCUUUAAUUUCUUUAUUACAAUUUCUUGGUCAUCUCAUGUGCAGGCCCCCAUCACAGAAUACAGAGUCUGAGUCAACCAAAAUUACUCAUCUUUCAAAGAUACUAUAUAUCAUAAAUUGCCAAUAAUAUUUCCAAGAGCAACCGACCAAAUCUUAGUACGAUUAACUAAGAACUUAAUAGUUGGUGUUUAAUAUCUCAAAUUUAAAAUUUAAUUAUUUUGUAUUUACGGCCGAGUUCAUUUCUAACAAAUGAACGAAAUGAAUAAACUACUUUUCUCUCCAAAAAUAUUUUAAGAGCUGAGCUCCUAGGGAGAGUUUGGUUUUCUAGAAAAAAAUUUCUAGAAAAUAGUUUUUCUGGUUGAAAAAGUAUUUUUGGCAAUUUUGAUUUUCAGCAAAGUAGUUAUUCUGGAAUUUUUUUUUUCCAGAUUUUAUGGGAAAAAAAUCUCCUUUUUGUUUUUUUUUUUCUAAUUUGUUUAUUUAAAAAGCAAAAACUAUGAAAAUAAUAUUUUCAUAAUUUUUGAGGAAUCAAACAGUACCCUUUUAAAUGAGAAGUAAGGACAUAUUAAUAGUAAUAUAUUGAAUAAAAUGAUUAAUUUCUUUGGAUAUAUAGUAAACAAAGCAUAUCCAUAUAUCAUAAUUUGUGUGUGUGUGUAUAUAUAUAUAUAUAUAUAUAUAUAUAUAAAAGUUUCAUAAUAGUUUAUAAUGGCAUUUAUUCUUUCUGAUAUAAUGAUAUUAAUUGAAUAUAACCACACGAAAUAAUAAUGCACGAAAUGAAUGGUUGAUAGAGAGCUUAUAAUAAAAUUUUUGUUUGUAUUCAAUUUAUUAUUUUAAGGGAAAAUAUUGAAAGGGAUUUAAUUUCCUUCUUAUUUUUUUGGUCGGCAACGUGUUCGUAAAUUGCGGCCAUGUUUGUCCACUCCCUCUUUUUCAACUUUUUAUUUUAAUUUUAUUUUAUUUUAUUUUAUUUUGUUUUGUUUUUCAACUUGUUCUUGCAUGGUAGUUGUUGCAUAGCUGGUUCCACAUUUAUUAGUACAGUUUAGUUUUUGUUUUCUAAUUCUUCUUUGGCCAACAAUUUUAUUUUUUAAAAAAUAUACACCUCAAAGUGGAUGUAAUUCGUAUAUUCGAUCCCUAAAAUAGGUGAGGUGUAUAACUUAUUAUCUCAAAAAAAAAGAGUAUAUUAUAGUUUAAUUAGCAAUCCUUUUCUUCUUUUUUUUUUGCUGUAAAUAAAAUUAGUUUAAGAAAAAUUUAAUUUAACACUUCAUCUAAAAGAAGAGAAAAAAGAAAAAAAGUAAAUGAGGAUCAGCACCGUAUAAUUUCUUAUUAUGCCCGAGUAAGAUUUUGAGAUUUAGACAAAAAUUUGAUAGACAGAAACAAAUAUUAGAGAUUCGAGAGUGGGACAAAUCAUAUGACUCAUCAAAUUAUAUAUCUUACUAAAAUCUCAUUGAGCAGUUUUUCAAUAACGUCGCGCUCAUCUAAAAAUACUAAUCAAAGUAUAUUUUUUAAUAACACUAUAUCGAUCAUCUAGCACGACUAAAUUAAUUAGAUGUUAACAUCUUUGCAAUUAGGUUGAUCAGAUUAAACUAGAUAGAAUAUAAUACUUGGUGGUUGGUACCCGAGACCUAAGUUCCAAUAUAAUACUUGGUAUGUAGUAUAAUUAAUCCUUCAAUUGUAGACUUUCUCAUCACCUAACUAUCAAAGUUUCCACAUGAAGGUGCUAGAAAAACUAAAAAAAAAAAAAGAAGAAAAGGGCCAUGUAUGUUAAGUGAUUGUUGGGGAUUUGUCAUAUAUAUAUUGUGAUUGGUUGAGAGGGUCAAAAUGAUGAGAAACUUCUCCAUCUAUGGACAUGAGAGUCAAUUAAAAUACACAAAUAACUUGUGUGAACAAAAGAAAUUAAUAGCCAAGUUAAUUUCCAAUUGGAUGUUUCCUUCUCAUUUAUGAGUUCAUAGUUGACAAGUAAGUCCCUUGUUCUACUAGCAAAAUUAUCAAUAAAUUAAUUAAAGUGGAAUCUGUCAUUGACCAAGUCAUCGCAAUACACGUAACCAAUUAAUAUUCAGAUUGAUAAACUCAAUCAAAUAUCACAUAUAGCAGGCACUCCAAUCUGCUAUUACAUUGUAAAUUUAUGGAUUAAUUUCAUACAUGUCCCUAUAAACAUAGUAAAUGGCAAAUAUAUUCCUACGAAGUUCAAAUUUUAUAUGUAGUUUCUGUAAAAGUUCUGAUAUUUUCAAAUAUGUCCCGAUAGUUUACUUUUUUUUUUGAGAGAUUUCCUAGCGCAAGUGGCAAAAGGCUUAGUGGUUUGUACCGGAGCUCCAAAGUUCGAAUUCUAGUUUAUUCAUAUAUUCAGCUAAGCCAUACUACAUAUGAAAGUUGAACUUUGUAGAGAUAUAUUUGCUAUUCAUUAUAUUUGCAGGAACAUGUAUGAAAUUAAUCCAAAAUUUAUAAUACAAAAUUUAAACAAAAUUCCAGUGUUAAAAUAGAGUUUAUAAAAGCUUUUACUUUUAUUUCAAAAUUUGCACAGGUCAUGCAAAAAUAAUAUAUGCCUGUGUGGACCCCACACAACCUACUAUUAUAUUAAUAUUUGUAAAAAAAAAAAAGAAAAGAAAGAAAAAGAAAAACUCAUUUACUUUUGAGGAAAAAGUAAUCAAUUGUGUUGCUGUCCAUUUCAGAACCUGUUCAAUGACAGUUCCUUCUACUAUACCCUGCAGGAUUGUCAAUAAAAAGACAAGGAAUUAUUAAUGUACUACUACUCUUCUUACAGGUCCAUGCAAACACCUAGAACAUAGAUCCAAUGAAAUAAUUAGGGAUAAAUUAUACAAUAUUCUCAAAAUCAAAAAAAAAAAAAAAAACAAACUUGAGGCCACUUUGUGAUAUGACCAGGAGUAGACUCUCCAGAGCUAAUUUGUAAUAUAGCAAGAAACUUUCCAAAUGAAGCCUCUUGUAAAUCCUUUAGAUUUCUUCUUUUUUUUUUCUUUUUUUUUUUUUUGAAUUGACAUUCAAUUUCCUUUCCCUUGAGAAAACUUAGGACAGUUUCUCACACUACAUAAAAAGUGAUUGGAAUUAACAUAACCAAGUAAUUACAGCAUACAAAGUUAGCUUGUUAAAAAACAAGAACAAACAUCUGAUUCAAUUAAUUCCCCAGAGAAAGAAGAAACUGCUUUAUUUUUUUCUUAUGAAUAUAUUCAGAAGUACUGUAGGGUGUGUCAAAUUUAUUAUAAGGUCAUUUGAUCACAUCUCAAACAAAGAUCCACAAGUAAGAAGAAGAGGAGGAGGAAUUAGAGGUGCUUGCUACAAAUAUAUAUGCCAGCAAAAAUUUGAAUCAGAUCACAAUUGACAUUAUAAUUUUUCUUUUUCUCCUAUUCUAUCUCUUUUCACCUGUCAAAAAAAAAAAAAAAAAAAAACGAUAAAAGAACCUCUAUCCAAGUUACCAUGUACAACAAAUUCCCCUGUAUUAAAAUGCAUGAUUUGUGUCUUGGUCCGUGCCGCGCAGGCACUCUUGCAUGAUCUGAAUAUUCUCAGGCAGAUCAGGGCAGCGCUUUUGUCUUGCGGCUCGCGAGCCCGCCGCUCUCCAUGAGAGCAGCCAGCGUUGGUGAGGAGGCCGGCCGCGAGAGCGCGCGCGGCGUCUCACGGGCCCUGGCGUCGCGGUGGCGGUGGCAACCACCUCCCAACAGCACCCCGACCCGCCGCUCCGCCCCGCUCCCUCCCGCUCUUCAUCAUCCGUCCACCACCAACUCCUACCGCACUCCUCCACCCCGCAUAUCUCCCCACCCUGCCCUCCGCGUCACACCCGCCGCCGCUUCCAAAACUUCAACCGCGCCGCCCGCCGCCGCCGCCCGCCCCGCCGCGCGCCCCCCAUAAAACCGCUCGCCGCGGCGCCCACUGCGCAGCGCGUCACCAUCUCCCCCCUCCCCCGCCGCGACCCCGCCCCGAUCCCGGCGAGGCACCCCAUCGCCGCCGCCGCAGCCGCCGCCGCCGCGGGGGCGUCGCCCUCUCCGGCGAGCCGGAUCAGCUCCGGGAUCAGAUCCGGCGCCUCCGCGACCGCCGCGGCCUCCGACUCGCUCCCGCACGCCGCGAUCAGCGACUCCAGAACCCGCGCGGCGUCGACCCGCGGGCCCAUCUCCUUCGUCCUCAGCACGCGGGCGAGCGCCGCGGCGGAGGCGCCCGGGUCGGCGGCGGCGGCGACCGCCCGCUUGUCGGCGCCGUCGGCGGCGAGGACGAGCGCCAGAACCCGCGCCGCCGCCGCCUCCGCGCCCUCGACCCGGAGCAGCGGCGCGACGGCCGCGGCGAGCCCGUCCUUGUCGACCUCCCCCUCGUCCUCGUCGUCCUCCUCGAGGAUCGCCGCGAUCUCCCGCAGCGCCGGGGCCGGGUCCGCCGCGUCGCGCGCCUCGCGGAGGAGCUCCUUGACCGCGGCGGAUGGGGAGGAGGAGGAGGAGGAGGAGGAGAGGGUACUAGUAAUCGCGCUAGGGUUAGGGUUAGGGUUAGGGUUAGGGUUAGGGGCGUUGUCGUUCCAGAGGCGGAUGAGGCGGAGGAGGGUGAGGUUGGGGACGAGGUCGGUGGAGGAGAGGGGCUGCAUGGUGGCGGGGCAGGUGGCGUUGCCGGACUGCAGCCAGCGCUGGAUGGAGGAGCGGUCGUAGGUGACGCCGGUGCAGAGGCUGACGGGCGACCUCAUGACGUCCAGCGAUAUCGGGCAGCGGAAGAAGCUCGGCACCUUCACCUCCAACGCCCUCCUCGUCUUCUUCUUCUGCGCCAGUACGCCCUCCUCCCCCUCCUCCUCCUUCCUCCUCCCCAUCAUCAUCAAUCAAUCAAUCAAUCUAUCUAUCAACACCUUGCUUACUCUUUAAUAAUCUUCUUAAUUAAUUCUACUAAUUCCUCCUUGUUGCUACUCCCCCUGAUUGUUCUGAUUCCUAGCUAAUUAAUAAUGGGUGUGGUGUGGUGUGUUGUGAUGUGUUUUGUGUGUGGGAUUUGGGAUGGUGAUGCUCCCAAGGAGGAAGAAGAAGAAGAAGAGGGAGAAGAGAUGAUGAGAAAAGAGGGAGGGAGGGAGGAGAGAAUGGAGUAGAAAGGGAAAGAUGGGGGAAGGAGUGGGUUUUAAGGUGGUGGAAAUGGAAAUGUAGGAGUAGAUGGAGAAAAAUAAAAAAACCCCCCUUAACUAUAGAUUAUUCUACAAUUGGUCCUUGUACUUUCCUUAGUUUAGGCAAACAAUAUCAGGAGGAGAAGAAAAAAUAUUUGAUAAAAAAGAAUAUUUGAUGCCUACUACCUAACCAAUAAUUUGUAAAAAAAAAUUAAUCAUAUAGCGAAAUAUAAUAAAUUUUAAUACCUAAAAGUAAUAUAGGUCACGUAUAAUUAUAUGACUGUACUGUGUAAAGCAUAAUAAAAUAAUAAAUAAUAAAAUUUAAUAUUUUGGGUCAGAUGUUGUAUAAAAUUAGGUAGAUAUGAACUAAAGAAAAAAUAAUUUUAAGUAGAGGGGUCUCCUUGCAUAUUUCAUCCUUUUCAAAGGAGAGAGAGAGGGAGUCAAAGAAACUGAGGGAGGGUGAUGACGUAGGAUGGGGGGUUGCUUUCAAAUUUUUUGGGUUUUUCUUGUUUACUUUGCCAAUUGCUUUCCCAUCUUUCUUUUUCUUUUGUUUGCUGCGCAUAUUUUUUCACUGGUAUUAAUAAUGGUGUCGAUCCGUUUAUUCAAGUACUCUCUUUUUCUUAUUCUUUUUUUUAUUUUUUUAUUUCUCUUUUUGCCUUGUUUGGUCUACGGUCAAAGGUGCGUGUUCCGGGUUAGCUGAUUUCGUGGGGAUAUAGGUCAAAAUUUAAAACUGGGGUGGGGAUUGGUUACGUGGGAUUAUUCGUGAUAUUAUAUGGUCUCAUUAUUCCACAGUAAUUUUACUGGAGCUGUGGGACCCACGUGUGGUUAGGAAUUACCAGUAGGAAUGCAAACGGGACGAAUCCGAAUGCAAGAAAGAUCGCCAUCUCUCUUUUUCUUUUUUUCUUUUUUUUUUGUGACGGAUCAGGACAUAUAUUUUGAACGGAUUAAUUUUUAUCAUAUUUUCUUAUUAUACACUCAUUUGAAAUGAAUUGAAACGAAAAUAAAUUUAGGACAGAUUUUUAGCAGAUCGACCAUCACUUACGAUUUCAUUAAAAACGAAUCAGUACGGAUGCUCCACUAGCCUGGAUCCAUUUGCAUCCUUUAGUUAGGAGUUUUUUUUGUAUUGAGAGGGUAUUUGAUGCACACGGCAUGUAUACACAGAGGCCUCUGUAUUGCCCAUUAGAAAUUUAAAUCUAAAUUAUUUUUUUUUACUUGUACCACUUUAGGGAUUUUUACGUACUAAUAUGAUGAAUUAUUUUUUUUCAACUACUCCGUCCUUCUUUAUCAUUGAUUGUUUGUAUGGCAUGAAUUGGAAAGAGUUGGAGACAGAAUCGUACCAAAUGUAGUUGGCAAAGGCUUAAUAAUUGAUACUCAAAAUUUUCAAAUUCGAAAUCUAUACUUAUUUCUGAAAAAGAUAAAUAAAGUCGAUAACUUGCUACUUUUCUCUCUUAAGAAAAAAAGGACAAAGUUGGAGACUGAAUCAUAGAAAUUAUACAUUAACCGGGCGAGUACGCUCAAUUCAUUUUACUUUAUUGUACUUAUUAGGUUAAUAUAGUUCAUUCAAUUUCAAUCUCAAACGAAGCAUUAUAAAAUAGUGAAUUCUCAACAAUUUUUGCUAUUUACAUAUAUAUAUAUAUAUAUAUAUAUAUAUAUAUAUAUAUAUAUAUAUAUAUAUAUAUAUAUAUAUAUAUAUAAGCUAUUUAGAGGCCGUAGAUUACAUCUGAAUUCAGAUUUAAUUAUCUCUGUAAUUGAGUUUUGUGAUUUGCUCUGAUAUAUUUGUGGAGACUUUGACUAUUUCGUCAAAUUUUUUUAGAAAGAAAGGUAAUUUGCUAUAAAUUUUGUUUUUUUUUUAAAAAAAAAUAAAUUUUGCUAGAAAUAUAAAGUAAUUAGAUUUCGAAUUUAAAAUUUUAGAUACUAAUAAUUAAUUUUUUUUUUCACUUACCCUGGCUUGGUACUGUUCUGUUGUUAUUGUAGGGAUUAUGGUCUACGGAGGCACGUGGGGCCCACGUGCCUAACCAAGUAACCAACGCCGCGGGAACUCCACGGGUUGGUCGUCGCUCGUAGUUAACGGCUCGGAUCCGUGAGAAAGGUAACGGACGUUUAUCACACGCGUGGGUCUUAACACGUGGGAUGCAUUUUACCGUUACUUGAUUUUACCUGGAAUAUCAGAAUAAAUUACGAAUUAUUUAAAUAUAAUUAUCUUUUUCAUCUAUUAAAUACUAUAAAAUUUCCAAGUUAAAAAGACAUACGAAAUAUAAUAUUCAUAUCCAUUUAUUUUAUUCCAAUAAAAAGUCUUUUUUUUUUUUCCUUUUUGAAUCGGUCAAAAUUUACAUCAAUAAAUUCAAACUUCGUGAACUUUGCAGAUUAUAUCUAUUAAUUAUGAAAUAUUAAGAGCGGCGUGUACGCGCGGGUCAGGUUAGUGCUUUAAUUAUCGUAUUUGGUUCCACUUAUUUGGCUAAUUAUAGAAAUUAAUUUUGUUAUGCUAAGCUAUAUCUGGGUUUAGUUUAUAUACCGUUCUCAGUUCUCUUCAAUUCGUAACCCUUGUGUAUACGUUAUUACUUCCGUAUACGCGUAUGUACAAGUAAUCUAUUUAAUGCUCUUGCUUUUUUUUUUUCCUUUUUUUUGCAUAAUUAUAUCCGUAACUCUCACAAUUUAGCCAAAAAAAACAUAUAGAUUAUACAUAUAUGUUGAAUUUUAUUUAAUAUCGGCCGAAAAACUAUAGAUGAAACAUAAGGAACUCUCAAAUGUAAAGAAAAAUUAAAAUUUCGAGAGUAAUUUUUCAAAUGACAAAGUGGGGUUCAAACUCUUUUUUGUUUUAAUUAAUGUUUUUUUUUUAAAGAAAAAAGAAAAAAAAAGAGAAGCUUUUAUAGCUUUUUGUGUAGGCCGUGUUUUGAUUAAUUAAUAAAUUCAUCAUUAUUACAGAUCGAGAUCCCAACAAUUUCUAACCAAUCGAUCUUAAUUAUUACUAAUUAUUGUUAUUACUAUUUCUAACUAAUAACCACUAUUAUUAUUAUCACUAUUUUUUUAAAAUUAAAUACUCCCUUUGUAGUCAAUCAUUCUAAAACCUGGAAAAAGAGAAAAUUUAAGUAUGGAAAUUACAACUUUACAACUAAUUUUGAUCAACCUAAUGUGGUAGGUGUGUUGCUUAUAAUUAAAAAAAAAAGAAAUUAGAGUUAGUGGUCAUUAGUCCACAGUGCAUUCCAACAGUGCAUUCCAACCUAGAGCUUAGCUAGAUCACAGCAAGUAAUUAAGACUUAGGUAUUGAGUACAUUAAUUGCUAUUCAAUAAAGUAUUACAAUUAGAAAUUACUAUAAAAAUAUUUUUGUUAAAGAUUUUUUUUUUUUUUUUUUAACAACAGAGAUAAGAAUUCCAACUUGUUCGGAACCGGUUUGAACUAUAAGAUCGAUUGUAAUACAGUUAGAUGAAGUGUUGUUUUAGAACCAUUAUUAGAAAAGAAAAAAAAAAUUUUGUCGUACUUUUAUAGUUGAACUGAAAAAAGUUUUCGACUCUUUUUAUUGCAGAAUAUAUAUGUUAUUACAGGCAAUUAAAAGUAAAAAAUUAGAUAUGGAAGUUUGAUCCAUAGAAUUCUAUCAAUAUUUGAUCAUAAUAAAAAUUAUAGAUUCUUAUUUAUUUUUCAACAAUUCGAAUCAACACAGUUUUUAAUAGUGUGUUGUAUUAUUAAGUGAUUUUGAUGAACACGGCAUAUAUAGGCCUUGUUAUUCACGUUCUAAGCCGUGUUUCGCGUUUGCUUUUGCACUUUGGAUUCUCCGGAGACUUUCUCACGACUUUUAUCCCUUGUUUUUUUUCUUUUUUUUUUUUUUUUUUUGAGGUUUGACUUUUGGGGUUUUUAUUAUUUUCUUUUGACUUACAUGUGAAUCGAAGCUCACCUUUAUAUAUAUAAUAAGAGCUGGGUUGGUAUACUAUCGAUAGUACGAAGGCCUCCGUGCUAUCAAGUUGUUUUUGAUGAUGCGGCUUCUAAAUCGACGAUCGGCUCUGUUAGACUUGAUCUACACUAUUGAAAGUAUUUGGAAACUAAAUUUCAUAAUUUUUCGAUAUCAUUAACUAUCAAACGAGUAGUCUAAAAGUGAACGGCUGAAAAUAAAAUCUCAUAAAAAAUGAUUAUAAAAGACUUGAAUUUAAGAUCAGAUGUACUGAUCAUACUCUAAAGAGUGAAAAUAAUUUUCUAUAAAAAUUUCACUAGAUUUGGAUUGUUUUACACCGUUAAAUUCACAAACGCAUCACAUCAACUAUUAAAAUUGUCAAUUUUGAGACAUUUUGAUCACUAGUCAAAUGAUGUCGAAAAAGUAUGAAAUUUAAUUUCCAAAUACUUUUAAUAGUGUAGAUCAAAUUUAACGGAGCCGAUCGUCGAUUUGGAAACUGCUUCAUUGAAAACAACUUGAUAGCACGGAGGCCUCUGUACUACCGAUAGCAUACCAGUCUAACUCUCUCUCUCUCUCUCUCUCUCUCUCUCUCUCUCUCUCCUAGUUUAGAUUCCUGCUACCGACACUACUAGGUAUAUAAAUAUAAUAUAGUAGUCACCGGAGCUGGUAGUAAAUUAAUUNAUUUUUUCGACAUCAUUUGACUAGUGAUCAAAAGAUCUCAAAAUUGACAAUUUUAAUGGCCAAUGUGGUGUGUUUGUCAGUUUAACGGUGUAAAAUAAUCCAAAUGCGAUGAAAAUUUUAUAGAAAAUUCUUUUCACUAUUUAGAGUAAGAUCAGUAUAUCUGAUCUUGAAUUUAAAUCUUUUAUCAUUAUUUUUCAUGAGAUUUUUAUUUUCAGCCGUUCAAUUUUAGACUACUUGUUUGAUAGGUAAAUGAUAUCGAAAAAUUAUGAAAUUUAGUUUCUAAAUACUUUCAAUAGUACAGAUCAAGUCUAACGGAGCCGAUCGUCGAUUUGGAAGCCGCAUCAUCGAAAACAAUUUGGUAGCACGGAGCGCUCCGUGCUACCGAUAGUAUAGUAGCCUAGUUCUAUAUAUAUAUAUAUA